rnacentral:rRNA from 1 species
UACGAAGGGGGCGAGCGUUGUUCGGAUUUACUGGGCGUAAAGAGCGCGCAGGCGGUCGAUCAAGUCGAGUGUGAAAGCCCCCGGCUCAACUGGGGAGGGUCAUUCGAUACUGAUCGACUCGAAGGCAGGAGAGGGUAGUGGAAUUCCCGGUGUAGUGGUGAAAUGCGUAGAUAUCGGGAGGAACACCAGUGGCGAAGGCGAAUACCUGGCCUGUUCUUGACGCUGAGGCGCGAAAGCUAGGGGAGCAAACGGG